GAUUAACGCUGGCGGCGUGCAUAACACAUGCAAGUCGAACGAUGAAACUUAAAUGAUUUCUUCGGAAUGAACUUAAGUGGAUUAGUGGCGGACGGGUGAGUAACGCGUGAGUAACCUGCCUUACACAAGGGGAUAGCCGUUGGAAACGACGAAUAAUACCCUAUGAUGUUUCUAUCUCGCAUGAGAUAUUAACCAAAGUGUUAGCGGUGUAAGAUGGACUUGCGUCUGAUUAGCUAGUUGGUGAGAAAAAAGCCCACCAAGGCAACGAUCAGUAGCCGGCUUGAGAGAGUGUACGGCCACAUUGGGACUGAGACAAGGCCCAGACUCCUACGGGAGGCAGCAGUGGGGAAUUUUGCACAAUGGGGGAAACCCUGAUGCAGCGACGCCGCGUGAUUUAGAAGGCCUUCGGGUUGUAAAAAUCUUUUGUAUAGGAAGAAAAUGACAGUACUAUACGAAUAAGGUCCGGCUAAUUACGUG
rnacentral:rRNA from 1 species